rnacentral:rRNA from 1 species
AUUGAACGCUGGCGGCAGGCUUAACACAUGCAAGUCGAGCGAGCGGCGGACGGGUGAGUAAUGUAUGGGGAUCUGCCUGAUGGAGGGGGAUAACUACUGGAAACGGUAGCUAAUACCGCAUAACAUCAGAUGUACCCAGAUGGGAUUAGCUUGUAGGUGAGGUAAGGGCUCACCUAGGCGACGAUCCCUAGCUGGUCUGAGAGGAUGACCAGCCACGCGGUGACUAGGACACGGUCCAGACUCCUACGGGAGGCAGCAGUGGGGAAUAUUGCACAAUGGGCGCAAUCCUGAUACAGCCAUGCCGCGUGUAUGAAGAAGGCCUUCGGGUUGUAAAGUACUUUCAGCGGGGAGGCGUUACCGACAGAAGAAGCACCGGCUAACUCCGUGCCAGCAGCCGCGGUAAUAC